GACGAACGCUGGCGGCGUGCUUAACACAUGCAAGUCGAACGGUGAAGCGCCUUCCUUUUUGGUGGGUGUGGAGGAGUGGCGAACGGGUGAGUAACACGUGAGUAACCUUCCCCCUUCUUCUGGAUAACCGCAUGAAAGUGUGUCUAAUACGGGAUAUUCUGGGUCUGUCGCAUGAUGGGUCUGGGAAAGAUAUUGUUUCGGUGGUGGAUGGGCUCGCGGCCUAUCAGCUUGUUGGUGGUGUGAUGGCCUACCAAGGCGGUGACGUGUAGCCGGCCUGGGAGGGUGGACGGUCACAGAGGGACUGAGACACGGCCAAGACUCCUACGGGAGGCAGCAGUGGAGAAUAUUGAACAGUGGGCGAAAGGCUGAUGCAGCGACGCGGCGUGAGGGAUGGAGGCCUUCGGGUUGUGAACCUCUUUCGGCAGUGAAGCAGGGUUGCCUGGUUUGUGGGUGGGUUGACGGUAGCUGGAUAAGAAGCGCCGGCUAACUACGUG
rnacentral:rRNA from 1 species